UCUUAUGGAUAAGCAAAGAAAGUAGUUUCUAAAGAUGAAAUCUAUUGUUGAUGAAGAUACUGUGAA
rnacentral:pre_miRNA from 1 species